CCACCCCCUACUGCCAUCGACCAUUUCCCCUGCCUCCUUCCCACCUUGUCCUUCCUUCUAUCACCAUUCCUCUUCUGUUUUUCCCAGGUGAGAGGCUGCUCAAGCUGUCCACCUGCUGACCAAGGCGGAGGAACAGGGAUUAAGGAGAGACACAACACAGCCCAUGGGCAGCAGGACUUGGUGCAGCAGACCUCCUUUAGCCCCCAGCGGGUACAAAACUGUGCAAACACAGUGAAGGAGAACUACUGUGAACAGGCAUCUUCUAACCAACUUGGCUGGCUCUGGCAAAUGUAGGUGACAGUCUUGCUCUUUCCUACAUUCUUGUGCAUCUCUAAGGUGACAACCAAUUUAUCUGAACAUAAAUUCCAGGAGUACUUCUGAGUGUCAGGGAUUAGGACCAUACUCAGAAUUCCCCAAACCCAGACUGGUGUGAGACUUCUGUGUUUCACAGCCCCUUCCCCAACUCUGUCAUGUUGGAGUCAGUGAGUCAGGGGAUUCUCUGAAUCCUUCAGGGAGGAAUCAGAGUGCAGGGAUUGAAUUAAAACCUUUGGAUGGAUUGAAGUAUAUUAAGUCACUCACACAUAAAGUGUAAGUUAAGUGUAAGUUUUAGUGUAAGUUUAAGUUUUAGGGUAAGUAAGUCGGUAAGUUUCAGCAUGAGCUCUAAUGCUUUUAGUACGUAAAAGGUUUAGAUACCAAAGUAGAAGUGCGAGUUCUAGUGAAGGUUGAAAAACAUAUUAAUGUUUUCAGUAGAGGCUCCAGGCCCGUGGUUUUAGACAGUACUUAGACAUAAUAGAGCUAUAGUAAGAAUAUUGCUUACAUUUUUUAGAUAGAACAUGAUAGGUCGUAUGCAUAGUCUAUACAUAACCUAACAUGUUAAGAAACUAGAAUUCUAAUAGGUUAAGAAGUGGUGGUCCGAGUUUG
rnacentral:lncRNA from 12 species